UCUUGGCUUAUACGAGGCUGUCUUCUCAUUAUGUCCGUCACAUAGUCUCUUGGGCUGACAGUUUGGUCCCCAGCUGGUGAGCUUGUGGAGAUGUGAUUGGAUUGGGAAGGUGUUAUCUUCCUCAAUGGGUUUGCCUACUGUGAGUUCAUAGGCAAGUGGACUCUGAGGAGGUGGGGCCUGGUGGUUGAACGAAUGCCUUUGAAGGGGACAUGGGUGCCUAGCGACUCCCAGCAUCUCUUUAGUAUGGAACAAGUAGCCUUGUUCCACCAGGCCCUCCCACCAUUAUUGCGUGCCUCUCCACAGACACAGAAACAAGACAGAGCCAGCCAAGCCUGGAUCCAAACGUCUCUAGCUGAAGUUGAUGGCAUAGAGCAGCGACCCUCUUUUCCUUGGAGCAGCGACCCUUUCCCCUCCCCCAACUUCCGUGUGCCGAUUCUUUUCAGACUAGCCAACUGGACUGAGACCACGGAGUCUGACCCCAGCCAAUGAGUUUGAAUCUGUGGCUGAUAUAAAAACACUGGGCAUCCUGACUAGGGAGGAUUUAGCAAGACAUUUUUGAAGUCCUUGGGACCCAGGUCUUGCACCAGUUCUCCGUGUGGACGACACUUCUAGAUCAAGACCUGUGAGUGUUUUGCUGGAGGCCUUGUGGAUUCUAACACGGAGUUCUUUCAUCUGAUUGUGUGAUUCAUCUUCAAGAAAAGAUUUCAGGUUUGCAGCCUGGGAUGGAGAGCCCUCCAUGGCAUCUCAGCAUGGACAUGCAGAACGUAAAUGCCAUCCAUUUCCAGCAUCUUCGUGCCACACAGCAGGGGCAGGGUAGCACGCCGACAAAUACAGGAUCCUAGGAGCGAGACGGGAGACAAAAGCGUUCAGAACUUAAACCUAAAAGCGGGUUCUGUUUACCCUUGCAGAGCUAAUGAGAUGCAUCCCGCCGCACUGAUUCUCCCACGUCUGCAACACUCUACGCCACUUGUAAUAGAACUUAACCAAAGGUGUGAUUUCACCAUUAUUUGUGUGACGCCGCCGCCGGGAUGAACAUCCGCCGCUCCCUCUCUCCCUGAGAUCAUCCGCUGCCUGAACCUCAUUAUCAGCUGGCUGCUUUGAAUAUUAUUUUAGCCCCCUAGCCUGGCACAGGACAGAUUAGGAAAUACACACUAAGAGAUAUUAAAUGAAGCGAUCGAUUUCUGUUGCACGGAAGAACUCUUUACAUGCUAAUGCAUUCCUUAUCUUAGAGUAGCAUGUUGUGCUUCAGAUUUCAGACGCCGUCGUGAAAGAUGAGCUUUGGAGUCAGAUCCAUCGGCACGCCUGCUUCGCCUGUUCUCCCUUUGAGGUAACUAUACUGAAGAUUCUAGCAAGAGCUUUCCUUGGGAGAAGCACAGCCUUGGGAGAAGUUUGUGCUUUUCUAGCCCCGCGAGUAUUGGAAUGAGAAAUCUCCUUUGUCUGGAAGUCUUGUAUACGAGACGGAUGCCAACUAUCACCAACACAUUUCUGAAAACACGAGGCGGAAUUAUUUUGAAUACAUUGAUGGCUCCCAAUCAGACUCUCACCGUUCUCCUUGAAGGACUUGAUUGCUUCACAGGUAUGCAAGAGUCAGAGCUGAGCUGACCUCUAAAGACAAGAUACUAAAGGCUUCCACCCCAUACCUAUGGAAGAAAUGGACCUGGGGACAAAGAACUCAGCCAGGUCUGGAAUAGGACUUGACAACAAUAACAAAACCCAUCUGUUCUGUAAUAAGAGAAUGGAGACAACCUGGAACUCAGACCCCCUUCCCUCCCUCGAGCAAAGGAUGGCUGGCCUGUAUCACAGCUACAUUUCCAUAUGGCUAGCUUUUCUCAAAGUCUUCUAUAAGUUGGAAGAUGGCCACAGGCAUGGAGGUAAGGAAACUAGACAGUCAUCCUCUACCCACUAUUUGGCCAAACUAAAUAAAUCUAUUAUUUCCUUCACUAAUUUCAGUUUCCUGGUUGCUUUGAAAUACAGGGAAACUGAGGCUAUGGUUUCUAGGCCUAAGUACCCAACAGCAACAUAAGCAGGCCAAAGGAAAUCAACUGCUAUGGGUAAAUUAUCAAAGGCCUAGUCAUAGUCACUGUCUAAAACCAUGGCAACAUCUGUAGCUUACUGCUGUUUAGAAAGAAUGAAAUGAUAGCGUCUGAUAGUUUCCUGCUGAAAGACUACACUUCCCAGCUUCCCCUGCGGACCAGGAAGUCAUUUCCGCCUCUAUAAGAGGCUGCAUACCAUCUUCUGUAAGCUUUUUGGCCAUCCACACCCAUGGAUGAUGGAAGUUCCCCCCCACACACACACACAACUUAGCGUCAGUAAACAUGGUCCUUCCUAAGGUCAGGCCAAGACUCUCCUUUUUUGUGCCUUUAGUCUCUCUGUAGCUGCUCUUAAAUAAUCUAACAUAAUGGUGCCCAAGACCUCAGGAUAGGCCAUCUGACCCACAAGCGUCUGAAGGCCACCCACGGACAAACCUCCAGGCUCCCAUAUGCUCUCGGCAGGGCACCCAGUUUCUCCCGGGGCAGUCUUUUCUUUUCACUUCCAUUUCUUCCCUUUCUCUCUCAACUUAACUGUCUCACUCUGACACAGCCUGACCUUCUCAGUGGGAGGUCGUGGUGCAUUCAACCAGAACACGUAUCCAACAGAGCAAAAUUCGGGGCACAAGGUAACCGUGGACUUAACGCAGAGGUGCCCUGGUUAGACCUGGAACUUCCUUCUGUCUGUCUUGGGACCCACGCAAUCAAAGAUUCCAAGAGCUUUCCACUGGCUGAGAUUGGCCAAGAAUUCCUGGGGUUCUCCACCGGCCUAUGGCCUAGCCCUCUGAACACCUUCACUGGCCCUGUGAUCUUAAGAGCUGGGAUUUGUAGGGGCAGAGAGACCCCCACCUCCCAACACACACACACACACACACACACACACACACACACACACACACACACACACACACGCCUGUUUCGUCACCAGGUGGCUGGUGGCUGGUGCCUGGAUUUCACCCCUGCCUUUGCCCAUGUCCUUUAUCCGCUCCAAAUUUCUGUAGAAAACCAACAACUCUCCGACUCUCCUGUGCCUUUCAGUGUAAAUCUGUCCUCACUAUACCCCGGACAAACGGCCACUGCUGGCAACGUACGAUUUCUAAUUCCUAAACUGAUUUAGGUAACUCUGUAAGAUGGAAUGGUAGUGUGGUCUGAGGCCCCUCCCCCAUAUAGCUGGCCAUUCACUUUAAUCCCUUUCGUGGCUCUGGUUUGCAACAGCUCCCAGAGCAGGAUACCUGCCAAUGUCUCCCCCAGGCCUCCAAACUUGUAUCUAUUCCUGUCUGGGAUAGCAUAGAACUCGUUGCCUUAUGCUUUGGGGCUACCUACGUUUCUGCCUCUCCAAGACUGGAAAAUCCUGCAUGUAUCUUUACAGCUGAGAGGUAAAAGCAUUUCAGAUAGGCUGCCUCAUUUGCACACACACACAAACUGGUUGUGGAAAUGCAGAUCACUAGGGCCAGUCUUACAGAGAUUCAAACGUCUCUAGGGGUAUGGAUCAUAUUGUAAAAUUCCUUCACGCUGUGCUACUCUAUUGAGAGGUUCGCUCUGGAGUUGGAAUUUGGCCCAUCUGUCUGAGCUUGUUUGAUAAGUUGCCAGCUUGAGUCCCCAGGCUCAAGCAGUCCCCGUGGCUGGAGCACCAUCCCACCAGAAUAAGCUUCGUAUGAGCCUCAUUACAGGAGGAGGAUACAGGGGGACUUCCAGGACACGCCAAUAUGAAGUAGAUUUGCAGUUCAGUAGGAGGGAAGGUGUUAAGGUGUUAAGCACAGAGUUAAAAAAAAGAGAUGGGUGCUCAGGGGAGGAUAGGACACACCCAAGUGUAGGCGUGGCCUUCUAGAAAGAGAUUGCCCUAAAGCAUCCUUACAACGUAUGACUUUGUUGUCUUCUGACGUCACACCUCAAAAGGUUGCUAAGGAGCUUCAGUGGUCUCAUAAGUUGGUCUCUGAGGUGCACUAGAUAUCCUCAGAGCUGAUAAGGUAAACCUGUGUCACCUGAAGAUGCCUAACACAGGGAACUAAGACAUGCUUUCCUUGUGGACAAAGUUUAUAGUCUUGUUUGGGAGAUUCCCCAAAACUGAAGGUCUACAUUUGGGAAAGGAACUGAAGGCCAUCUACACUUCAACCUUAAACGUGGUUCAUUACUAGUUUAACGUUCUUAUUUGAAACAUCUCGAUAUAAAAGGAAUAUUGUUGGGAUAUAGUCAGUCUAUAAACCAAUGUAAUUGUGAUGCACUUCUCGCCUCUCAGCUAGCGAGCAACUUUAGCCAGACCCCAGAGUAAGGGAUUUCCUUCCUUUCCUGUGUCCCCAUAAUUUUCCCUGUCUUUCAAGCCAGCCUCCAUAUUAUAAUCACCUAAAGGAGUUUUGGUGUGUGUGUGUGUGUGUGUGUGUGUGUGUGUGU